rnacentral:lncRNA from 1 species
CGAGACAUGCGCACAGCAUGCAUGUCCUCUACGCACGCACGUCCCCUUUGCACGCAUGGGAAGGGUGAGAAGCGCGCACGUCCCCUUCUCGUGCACAAUGUGGGGUCAGGAGCUGUACGCGCAUAUGGGCCAUCUGCGCGUCACUUCUUGCACGGAUUGGUGCUAGAAAUUAUGCAUGUGUCAUCCACAUUGGCGGCUUGCACAGAUAGGCCCUGUGCACUUGGGCCCUGCGGGCAGUAGGCAAAGCACGCGACAGACAGUAUGCCUAGCCCCAACGCAUACGGCAGCAGGCCU